rnacentral:rRNA from 1 species
AGCGUACACGGUGGAUGCCCUGGCAGUCAGAGGCGAUGAAGGACGUGCUAAUCUGCGAUAAGCGUCGGUAAGGUGAUAUGAACCGUUAUAACCGGCGAUUUCCGAAUGGGGAAACCCAGUGUGAUUCGUCACACUAUCAUUAACUGAAUCCAUAGGUUAAUGAGGCGAACCGGGGGAACUGAAACAUCUAAGUACCCCGAGGAAAAGAAAUCAACCGAGAUUCCCCCAGUAGCGGCGAGCGAACGGGGAGCAGCCCAGAGCCUGAAUCAGUGUGUGUGUUAGUGGAAGCGUCUGGAAAGGCGCGCGAUACAGGGUGACAGCCCCGUACACAAAAAUGCACAUACUGUGAGCUCGAUGAGUAGGGCGGGACACGUGGUAUCCUGUCUGAAUAUGGGGGGACCAUCCUCCAAGGCUAAAUACUCCUGACUGACCGAUAGUGAACCAGUACCGUGAGGGAAAGGCGAAAAGAACCCCGGCGAGGGGAGUGAAAAAGAACCUGAAACCGUGUACGUACAAGCAGUGGGAGCCUCUUUAUGGGGUGACUGCGUACCUUUUGUAUAAUGGGUCAGCGACUUAUAUUCUGUAGCAAGGUUAACCGAAUAGGGGAGCCGAAGGGAAACCGAGUCUUAACUGGGCGUUAAGUUGCAGGGUAUAGACCCGAAACCCGGUGAUCUAGCCAUGGGCAGGUUGAAGGUUGGGUAACACUAACUGGAGGACCGAACCGACUAAUGUUGAAAAAUUAGCGGAUGACUUGUGGCUGGGGGUGAAAGGCCAAUCAAACCGGGAGAUAGCUGGUUCUCCCCGAAAGCUAUUUAGGUAGCGCCUCGUGAAUUCAUCUCCGGGGGUAGAGCACUGUUUCGGCAAGGGGGUCAUCCCGACUUACCAACCCGAUGCAAACUGCGAAUACCGGAGAAUGUUAUCACGGGAGACACACGGCGGGUGCUAACGUCCGUCGUGAAGAGGGAAACAACCCAGACCGCCAGCUAAGGUCCCAAAGUCAUGGUUAAGUGGGAAACGAUGUGGGAAGGCCCAGACAGCCAGGAUGUUGGCUUAGAAGCAGCCAUCAUUUAAAGAAAGCGUAAUAGCUCACUGGUCGAGUCGGCCUGCGCGGAAGAUGUAACGGGGCUAAACCAUGCACCGAAGCUGCGGCAGCGACACUAAGUGUUGUUGGGUAGGGGAGCGUUCUGUAAGCCUGUGAAGGUGUACUGUGAGGUAUGCUGGAGGUAUCAGAAGUGCGAAUGCUGACAUAAGUAACGAUAAAGCGGGUGAAAAGCCCGCUCGCCGGAAGACCAAGGGUUCCUGUCCAACGUUAAUCGGGGCAGGGUGAGUCGACCCCUAAGGCGAGGCCGAAAGGCGUAGUCGAUGGGAAACAGGUUAAUAUUCCUGUACUUGGUGUUACUGCGAAGGGGGGACGGAGAAGGCUAUGUUGGCCGGGCGACGGUUGUCCCGGUUUAAGCGUGUAGGCUGGUUUUCCAGGCAAAUCCGGAAAAUCAAGGCUGAGGCGUGAUGACGAGGCACUACGGUGCUGAAGCAACAAAUGCCCUGCUUCCAGGAAAAGCCUCUAAGCAUCAGGUAACAUCAAAUCGUACCCCAAACCGACACAGGUGGUCAGGUAGAGAAUACCAAGGCGCUUGAGAGAACUCGGGUGAAGGAACUAGGCAAAAUGGUGCCGUAACUUCGGGAGAAGGCACGCUGAUAUGUAGGUGAAGCGACUUGCUCGUGGAGCUGAAAUCAGUCGAAGAUACCAGCUGGCUGCAACUGUUUAUUAAAAACACAGCACUGUGCAAACACGAAAGUGGACGUAUACGGUGUGACGCCUGCCCGGUGCCGGAAGGUUAAUUGAUGGGGUUAGCGCAAGCGAAGCUCUUGAUCGAAGCCCCGGUAAACGGCGGCCGUAACUAUAACGGUCCUAAGGUAGCGAAAUUCCUUGUCGGGUAAGUUCCGACCUGCACGAAUGGCGUAAUGAUGGCCAGGCUGUCUCCACCCGAGACUCAGUGAAAUUGAACUCGCUGUGAAGAUGCAGUGUACCCGCGGCAAGACGGAAAGACCCCGUGAACCUUUACUAUAGCUUGACACUGAACAUUGAGCCUUGAUGUGUAGGAUAGGUGGGAGGCUUUGAAGUGUGGACGCCAGUCUGCAUGGAGCCGACCUUGAAAUACCACCCUUUAAUGUUUGAUGUUCUAACGUUGGCCCCUGAUCGGGGUUGCGGACAGUGUCUGGUGGGUAGUUUGACUGGGGCGGUCUCCUCCUAAAGAGUAACGGAGGAGCACGAAGGUUGGCUAAUCCUGGUCGGACAUCAGGAGGUUAGUGCAAUGGCAUAAGCCAGCUUGACUGCGAGCGUGACGGCGCGAGCAGGUGCGAAAGCAGGUCAUAGUGAUCCGGUGGUUCUGAAUGGAAGGGCCAUCGCUCAACGGAUAAAAGGUACUCCGGGGAUAACAGGCUGAUACCGCCCAAGAGUUCAUAUCGACGGCGGUGUUUGGCACCUCGAUGUCGGCUCAUCACAUCCUGGGGCUGAAGUAGGUCCCAAGGGUAUGGCUGUUCGCCAUUUAAAGUGGUACGCGAGCUGGGUUUAGAACGUCGUGAGACAGUUCGGUCCCUAUCUGCCGUGGGCGCUGGAGAACUGAGGGGGGCUGCUCCUAGUACGAGAGGACCGGAGUGGACGCAUCACUGGUGUUCGGGUUGUCAUGCCAAUGGCACUGCCCGGUAGCUAAAUGCGGAAGAGAUAAGUGCUGAAAGCAUCUAAGCACGAAACUUGCCCCGAGAUGAGUUCUCCCUGACUCCUUGA